UCACCAUUGUAUUUCAAAAUGUGUCAAUAGUACUUAAAGAGCCAAUUGGCACGUGUUAUUCUGUUGAUAAUUCGAAAAAACGAGAUUUCUGUCUUUUUAAAAUAUAUUUUUUAAUUGAUUUAACCUUUAUUUAGCUUGGAAUCUUGGAGGUGUUUCCUGACUGACUCCACAUUUGGUUAAUGACGUUUGUCCCCCAUGAGACACUGUAGCCUAUUUCACUUCCUCAAAAUGCCCAGAAUGAAUGUAAGAUAACUCAAGAAAUCUGUAAUACAUUUAGAUAUUUUUGCAGUGGGUAUUUUAGUUGCACCAUUUUACAUCUAAGGUGUUUUUGGUGCAGUAUUUCUCAAGUAAAAAAAUGUGCUAAAUGUUGUCUGUCAACAAAGUCUGGGCAGGUCUGUCUCAAGGUCUAUGCUAUUGGAUAGAAUGCAAUCACUGAAGCUGUUCACCACAUGUUAGUGGGCAAAUGGACAUCAUCAAAUCAAAACCUAAACUCUGAUUUAGACCAGACUGACUUUAUGAUCAAAAUUAUCCUAUUUUCCACUUUGUAGUCAAUUUUAAAACUAGAAUAACUGUUUCUGACUCAUAUCAAUGCCACAUAGGCAGUUUUCAAAGGGAUUUGUUGCUUUUAAAGGCAGUCACUCUUUAUUAAGGUGCAUGAUGCCAGGCAGGAAGUAAUUACAGCAUCACUAAGAGGUCGUUCCCAUCUCCAAGCCUGUACUGUGCGCUGAAGAGAUUGUCAAGUGGACUUAGAGGGGUUUACAUUUCACAUUCACUUUUGACAUACAAUUAGCCAUACGAGCCAGCACAACAUCCAAAGCAAACCUUUAUGUCUCACCAGUAAAACACAAGUUGUGUUCGAAUACCCAUACUGACAUACGGUAUACUACAUACUUAAUGAGUAUACACUACAUACUAUAUACUAUUAUUUCAUUUUAGUAUACUGUAAACGAAUAGUACCCUUUCCGUUGAGUGUACUAGCUCUUCACCUGUCAACCGGAAGUUGAUGCUGUUGCUAUGCAACCUCUUGCUAGGUAGUUAACAUAACAAAUUACCAGUUAAACAUUUUACGACUUCGGGUGUGUUCACUUGUAAAUUCAGAGCGGUCCGCUCUCGGAGUGUACACCGGACGUUUGGGUCAAGGUGUCACGACUUCCACCGAAGGCCCCUCACUGGUGCAGUCACGGAAGUUAGUGGAGACUGUGUUUACAGAUGGGAUGGGAAUGCUGGAAACAUGACCGCAUCCUGAAUCUGUCUCUGUCUCCCCUGGUCCCACUGGACUCAACACUGUGGGACCAGCUGGAAUCCCAUCUCCCCGGUGACCCAACAGUGUGACGAACCACGAGCCAUCACCAUGACGAUGAUUCCAGCAGGAAGUGGGAUGCGCCUUAGGGCUGAUUUCCUGCUUCUUCUCUGGUCCACCAUCAUUCCAUCACAAAGAUGGAGCAGCUUACACUUUGUAGCUCAGUUGGUAUAGCAUGGCAGUGGUAACGCUAGAAUCGUAGGUUUGAUUCCCAGGACUACCCAUACAUUAUGUAUAAUGUAUGCACGUGUGACUGUAAAUCGCUUUGGAUAAUAGCGUCUGCUAAAUAGCAUAUUACAGUUUUUCUCAAUUGCUAAAACACUAAAACUCAUUGGCUGAACAAAGUUCUCAGUUGCCUGGACUCAUUUACCUAAUUAUGCAGUCUGUUGUCAAUACCUUAAACCAUUUCACAUGGUAAAACACAAUUUGCAGAUCUCACUUAGACUUUUCAGGAAAACUAAACACAUUCUGCACUCUAAUGCACAUGUCAUCCAUACUGGUAAACACAAGUGGCAACAAUCAAAUACAAAUAGAGAAUACAUGUCAUUGAACACAACCACUCAAAUUGAUUUAACCUGUUUCAAAUGAGGAGGAUGAAGAGGAAGACAAAUAGUGGAAUUAUCUGAUGAAAUUCGAGCAACAGUUAAAGACCAUGUUCUUGUCCAUGGACCGACAAAGAGGGAAGCAGGACUUUGAGUGCAACCCAAUUUGAGCCGAUUUUCUGUGUCCGCCAUAGUAAGGACAUCCAGAGAAGAGAACAGGUAUAGGAUACUGCUGUCUUUUUGUAAUUGCAAAUUUACUGUACUACACUAUAUGCAGCUGUUUCAAUAGACAUUUGUAAAGUUAAUCACUGUAUGUAUUGUACUGCAUGAAUAUGUUUUGUAACUGCACUACUUUUUGUAGUAUGUGCAAGUAAGUGUACAUUCAGAAACAUUUACUGUAAUCCGGAUUGUCUACAGUACUAACACAUACUAUGUGAAUGACAUUACUCUUCAGUACAUACAAGGUAUGUGAAUCAGAAGCCUAAUUGUACUCUACAGUAUAGCACUGUCUCUGUACGACAUACAAAAUCCUACAUACAGCAUAUUGUAUUUCUACACAGACAAUAUUUGACUUGGAAUCCUUGGACAGACCCCAUGAGUUCAUCUUUGUCGAUGAAGCAGGCUUCAAUCUGACAAAGAGGAGAAGGAGAGGCCGAAACAUGAUUGAACAGCGGGCCAUUGUUGAAGUCCCUGGUCAACGAGGUUAUGUCACAAUCUGUGCUGCUAUCAGCAACCAUGGUGUUAUACAUCACCAUGUUACACUCUGGCCAUAUAACACCCAGCACCUUCUAAGAUUUAUUGCCAAUCUAAGAGAUAUUUUAUUUGAGCAGCAAGUUCAAGAGCAGCAGGGACAGAGCUAAAUGAGAAUCCCAUUCCCACCUAUGUGAUAGUGUGGGGACAAUGUCAGUUUCCACCGAGAUGCUCAGCUAAGGGAAUGGUUUAACAUCAAUGGGCAGUUUAUGAACUUGUACCUCCCUCCAUACUCGCCUUUCCUGAAUCCGAUUGAGGAAUUUUUCUCCUCUUGGAGAUGGAAAGUGUAUGAUAGACAACCAUACACGAGAGUAAAUCUGCUGCAAGCCAUGGAUUUAGCCUGUGGUGAUAUAGGUGAGGAAUUAUGUCAGGGCUGGAUACGGCACACAAGAGGCUUCUUCCCCCGUUGCCUCAGGAGGGACAAUAUUGCUUGGCUUGACCCAGCCCAAAGACAAGAAGAAGCACAUUGAUCACGUUUACUCCUUUGAUUUUUGUCCCUUUUUAGUAUUGUAGACUGUAGUACAGUGCAUUGUAGGCUGUAUACUGUACAAUGGACAAAGUGUAUGGCCCUGAACAUUGUGCUUUCCAUUUAUUAACAGUACUGACUGCUCAAUAGAUUUUGACUGGUUGCAGGUUCAUAUCAACAAAGAACAAGAAUUACAGUAUCACAGAGACAAAGGACAAGUGUGUGAGAUGCAGGGUACAGUACUGUAAAAAUAGGGGAACAAGGAGGAGGAAGAACAAAAAACAAAAUAGUGAAGAGCAAAGCAGAGUAGUAUUUUCUGAUCAAUUUUGAGCUACUAUGAUAGAACAUAUUUUCAUUCAUCAAAAGACAAUGACGGAGAAAUAUGAAUAUUUUUUUAGAUUAGAUUAAAAAUGUACUUCUCCCUGAGAA